UACAGAGGUCUCAAGCGUUGUUCGGAUUCAUUGGGCGUAAAGGGUGUGUAGGUGGCGCCGUAAGUCGGGUGUGAAAUUUCGGAGCUUAACUCCGAAACUGCAUUCGAUACUGCGGUGCUUGAGGACUGGAGAGGAGACUGGAAUUCAUGGUGUAGCAGUGAAAUGCGUAGAGAUCAUGAGGAACACCGGUGGCGAAGGCGGUUCUCUGGGCAUUACCUGACGCUGAGGAGCGAAAGCGUGGGGAGCAAACAGG
rnacentral:rRNA from 1 species